rnacentral:misc_RNA from 1 species
CUUUGUUUAUUUGGAACUGGGUUUUCAAACCCUUGUUGGCAUUAGAAAUUUACUUUUAUGGACCAUCUGAUUUCAAGUGCUUCUUUUCGAUUCAAAUUUGUUUUGUAGUCCAUGGAGCAGAGAAGAGCAGCUACAGAGUUUGAAGUGUAAAUUUUUUAACUGUUCUAUCUGUUAUACUCAAAAUCAAAAUGGCGGUGGCUAAUUUACAAGGAUUCAUUUCAAUGUCUUCUCGGAUGCAACCAACUCGCCAUGACAUGUUUCCUUCAUCCCCAUUUGUUGGACAAAAAGGAGACAUUGGGUAUUCAUAUAGUUCUGUUUCUGAUGUUCAAUUAGGAAAGAUCAACUUCCCUAGGAAAAUGCAUGCUACUACCAGACGCUUCUUGACUACUUCUGUCCUUGCUGAUGUUACUAAAGAUUUCAUGAAUUUCCAAGCACCAAUGCUUGAAAAACCAGAAGCAGACCCAAAGAAUGUUGCCUCUAUUAUAUUAGGCGGUGGAGCGGGAACAAGACUUUUUCCUCUUACUAAUAGAAGGGCUAAACCAGCUGUGCCAAUAGGAGGAUGUUAUAGAUUGAUUGAUGUCCCAAUGAGCAAUUGCAUCAACAGUGGCAUUAACAAAAUAUACAUCCUCACACAGUUCAAUUCUCAAUCUCUCAACCGUCACAUUGCUAGAACAUAUAAUUCUGGGAAUGGUGUAAACUUUGGUGAAGGGUUUGUUGAGGUAUUAGCAGCUACUCAAACACCUGGCGAAUCUGGAAAGAAGUGGUUUCAGGGUACAGCAGAUGCUGUUAGACAAUUUAUCUGGUUGUUUGAGGAUGCAAAGCACAGACACAUUGAGAAUAUUUUGAUAUUAUCUGGUGAUCAUCUCUAUCGAAUGGAUUAUAUGGAUUUCGUGCAGAAGCACAUUGAUUCAGGUGCUGAUAUAUCUGUCUCUUGCCUCCCUAUUGAUGACAGUCGAGCCUCCGAUUAUGGGUUGAUAAAGAUUGAUGAGACAGGACAAAUCACACAAUUUCUUGAGAAGCCCAAGGGUGAAAAUUUGAAAUCCAUGAGAGUAGAUACAACUAUUCUAGGAUUAUCAGCUCCAGAUGCAAGGAAGUUCCCAUACAUUGCAUCAAUGGGUAUAUAUUUGUUCAAGACAGAUGUUCUACUAAAACUUCUGAGGUAGUUUAAGGCUGUCAUUUACAGUAUUACAGCAUAAAUAAAGUAAAAGGAAUGCAUUACGUCUUCCCCUUUUAUGUUGUCCUUGAUAGCAGAAAAAAAAAAAAAGGCAAAAUUCUUCCCAGUAUAAUAUCACAAAACCAUCCUAUCAUAUGAGCUUAUAGUACAAAGACUGUUCUGCGAUAAAUUAAAUUAGUCAAAUAGUUGGGUUAAGCAUCAUGCAGAAAAACUGCCUGAAUUAAACCAAUUGAGAUUUUUAUUAUUGUUUCAGGGUUUGUUGUUGAGCUUUCUCAAUUGUGAUUUGAAAUGCCUUCUUACACUAAUGGAUUGAUAAUCUUAUUCCUUACUUUAUUAGUGCAUUAUCAUUGAAGAGUUCACAUCUUUGUCAUGUCUGUAGUGCUACAGUACAUGUUAUACAACAUGAUUAUUACUUGGUACAUCAUUUGAACCCUGAAGGAGAGAGCAGCAUUUGUGGACUUGUGUCAACAUAAUCUGCAGUUUGAUGAAAUUAAUUUCCCUUCCCCCUUAAAUAUGAAAGAUGAUAUAAUUUAGUGAAUCUUUUUGUAAAUGAAGUGGUGCUUUUACUUUUUAACAAAAUGCCUCACAAAUAUCAAAGAAUAAUGUAAUGGUGAUUUGUGUGAUCUCCAAUAGAGUGACAUGGAAUAAUGUUUCUCUUUUCCUCCUAUACUUUUGUUUCUUUAGGUGGCAUUAUCCAACAGCCAAUGACUUUGGAUCAGAAAUUAUUCCAAUGGCUGCAAAAGAUUAUAAUGUUCGGGUAAAUUCUUUGAAAAUUGUUCUCAUUUUUUAGCUAGGCCUUGGAACUGAAUGCUGUAUUACUUGAAUUGACGAUAGUUUCUGACCAUUGGAAAGUUUGAUUUGAUAGACAAUUCAACUUAUUCUUCACAGAAUGUUAAUAUGAGAAUGCGGGUAAAUGGGUGCUGUGAACUAAUACUCUCAUUUUUACUUCGGAAACUGCUGAUAGGUGGCCAUUGUUCAUUUCUUGGCAGGCAUAUCUAUUCAAUGACUACUGGGAGGAUAUUGGAACUAUAAAAUCUUUCUUUGAUGCCAACUUGGCCCUAACAGAUCAGCCUCCCAAGUUUCACUUCUUUGAUCCGCUCAAGCCAAUCUUCACGUGCCCCCGGUUUUUACCACCAACUAAAAUAGAGAAGUGUCGGGUCAAGGAUUCCAUAAUUUCACAUGGUUGCUUUUUAAGGGAGUGCAGUGUUGAACAUUCCAUUGUAGGGAUUCGCUCAAGACUAGAAUAUGGGGUUGAGCUGAAGGAUGCCAUGAUGAUGGGUGCUGACUUUUACCAAACGGAGGCAGAGAGAGCAGCCUUUUUAGCUGAAGGAAAAGUUCCAAUAGGUGUUGGGAGAGAUACCAAAAUUAUGAAUUGCAUAAUUGACAAGAAUGCAAAAAUUGGGAAGAAUGUGAUCAUAGCAAACAAGGAU